rnacentral:rRNA from 1 species
UACGAAGGGGGCUAGCGUUGCUCGGAAUCACUGGGCGUAAAGGGUGCGUAGGCGGGCUCUUAAGUCAGAGGUGAAAGCCUGGAGCUCAACUCCAGAACUGCCUUUGAUACUGGGAAUCUUGAGUUCGGGAGAGGUGAGCGGAACUGCGAGUGUAGAGGUGAAAUUCGUAGAUAUUCGCAAGAACACCAGUGGCGAAGGCGGCUCACUGGCCCGAUACUGACGCUGAGGCACGAAAGCGUGGGUAGCAAACAGG